rnacentral:rRNA from 1 species
GACGAACGCUGGCGGCGUGCUUAACACAUGCAAGUCGAACGGAAAGGCCCUGCUUUUGUGGGGUGCUCGAGUGGCGAACGGGUGAGUAACACGUGAGUAACCUGCCCUUGACUUUGGGAUAACUUCAGGAAACUGGGGCUAAUACCGGAUAGGAGCUCCUGCUGCAUGGUGGGGGUUGGAAAGUUUCGGCGGUUGGGGAUGGACUCGCGGCUUAUCAGCUUGUUGGUGGGGUAGUGGAUUACCAAGGCUUUGACGGGUAGCCGGCCUGAGAGGGUGACCGGCCACAUUGGGACUGCGGUACGGCCCAGACUCCUACGGGAGGCAGCAGGGGGGAAUAUUGCACAAUGGGCGGAAGCCUGAUGCAGCAACGCCGCGUGCGGGAUGACGGCCUUCGGGUUGUAAACCGCUUUCGCCUGUGACGAAGCGUGAGUGACGGUAAUGGGUAAAGAAGCACCGGCUAACUACGUG